rnacentral:rRNA from 1 species
AUUGAACGCUGGCGGCAGGCCUAACACAUGCAAGUCGAACGAGUGGCGGACGGGUGAGUAAUGUCUGGGAAACUGCCUGAUGGAGGGGGAUCACUACUGGAAACGGUAGCUAAUACCGCAUACCAUCAGAUGUGCCCAGAUGGGAUUAGCUAGUGGGUGGGGUAACGGCUCACCAAGGCGACGAUCCCUAGCUGGUCUGAGAGGAUGACCAGCCACACUGGAACUGAGACACGGUGCAGACUCGUACGGGAAACAGCAGUGGGGAAUAAUGCACAAUGGGCGCAAGCCUGAUGAAGCCAUGCCGCGUGUAUGAAGAAGGCCUUCGGGUUGUAAAGUACUUACAGCGGGGAGGCGUUACCCGCAGAAGAAGCACCGGCUAACGCCGUGCCAGCAGCCGCGGUAAUAC